rnacentral:tRNA from 1 species
GCCGAGGUGGCGGAACUGGCAGACGCAGCGGACUUAAAAUCCGCUGGCCCUACUCGGGCCGUGCGGGUUCGAGCCCCGCCCUCGGCA